rnacentral:rRNA from 1 species
GGGAAGCAAUACUGCAGUCGAGCGAGCUUGCCUAGAUGAUUUUAGUGCUUGCACUAAAUGAAACUAGAUACAAGCGAGCGGCGGACGGGUGAGUAACACGUGGGUAACCUGCCCAAGAGACUGGGAUAACACCUGGAAACAGAUGCUAAUACCGGAUAUCAACACUAGACGCAUGUCUAGAGUUUGAAAGAUGGUUCUGCUAUCACUCUUGGAUGGACCUGCGGUGCAUUAGCUAGUUGGUAAGGUAACGGCUUACCAAGGCAAUGAUGCAUAGCCGAGUUGAGAGACUGAUCGGCCACAUUGGGACUGAGACACGGCCCAAACUCCUACGGGAGGCAGCAGUAGGGAAUCUUCCACAAUGGACGAAAGUCUGAUGGAGCAACGCCGCGUGAGUGAAGAAGGGUUUCGGCUCGUAAAGCUCUGUUGGUAGUGAAGAAAGAUAGAGGUAGUAACUGGCCUUUAUUUGACGGUAAUUACUUAGAAAGUCACGGCUAACUACGUGCCAGCAGCCGCGGUAAUACGUAGGUGGCAAGCGUUGUCCGGAUUUAUUGGGCGUAAAGCGAGUGCAGGCGGUUCAAUAAGUCUGAUGUGAAAGCCUUCGGCUCAACCGGAGAAUUGCAUCAGAAACUGUUGAACUUGAGAGCAGAAGAGGAGAGUGGAACUCCAUGUGUAGCGGUGGAGUGCGUAGAUAUAUGGAAGAACACCAGUGGCGAAGGCGGCUCUCUGGUCUGCAACUGACGCUGAGGCUCG